UUAAAUUGAAGAGUUUGAUCAUGGCUCAGAUUGAACGCUGGCGGCAGGCCUAACACAUGCAAGUCGAACGGUAACAGGAAACAGCUUGCUGUUUCGCUGACGAGUGGCGGACGGGU
rnacentral:rRNA from 2 species